UACAGAGGGGGCAAGCGUUGUCCGGAAUUAUUGGGCGUAAAGAGCUCGUAGGCGGUCUGUCGCGUCUGCUGUGAAAACUCGGGGCUUAACCCCGGGCCUGCAGUGGGUACGGGCAGACUAGAGUGCGGUAGGGGAGACUGGAAUUCCUGGUGUAGCGGUGAAAUGCGCAGAUAUCAGGAGGAACACCGGUGGCGAAGGCGGGUCUCUGGGCCGUAACUGACGCUGAGGAGCGAAAGCGUGGGGAGCGAACAGG
rnacentral:rRNA from 1 species